CCUACGGGUGGCAGCAGUGGGGAAUAUUGGGCAAUGGACGCAAGCCUGACCCAGCAACGCCGCGUGAAGGAAGAAGGCUUUCGGGUUGUAAACUUCUUUUCUGAGGGACGUAGAAAGUGACGGUACCUCAGUAAUAAACCACGGAUAACUACGUGCAAGCAGCCGCUGCAAUACGUAGGUGGCAAGCGUUAUCCGGAUUUGUUGGUUGUAAAGGGCGUGUGGGCGGGAAAGCAAGUCAGAUGUGAAAACUCAGGGCUCAACCCUGAGAUUGCAUUUGAAACUGUUUUUCUUGAGUGCUGGAGAGGCAAGCGGAAUUCCGGGUGUAGCGGUGAAAUGCGUAGAUAUACGGAGGAACACCAGUGGCGAAGGCGGAUUGCUGGACAGUAACUGACGCUGAGGCGCGAAAGCGUGGGGAGCAAACAGGAUUAGAUACCCGAGUAGUC
rnacentral:rRNA from 1 species